rnacentral:rRNA from 1 species
UACAGAGGGGGCAAGCGUUGUUCGGAAUUACUGGGCGUAAAGGGCGCGUAGGCGGCCUGUUAAGUCGAACGUGAAAUCCCCAGGCUUAACCUGGGAACUGCGUCUGAUACUGGAAGGCUUGAGUUCGGGAGAGGAAUGUGGAAUUCCAGGUGUAGCGGUGAAAUGCGUAGAUAUCUGGAGGAACACCGGUGGCGAAGGCGGCAUUCUGGACCGAAACUGACGCUGAGGCGCGAAAGCCGGGGGAGCAAACGGG